GCAUCCGUGUUGACAAAAUCACAGAAUAUCUAUGCGAUCCUCUUCAGAGAUGCCUUAAGGAUGAUGAUCCGUAUGUGCGCAAAACUGCUUCAAUUUGUGUUGCUAAACUAUAUGAUUUGAAUGCUGAGUUAGUUGAAGACAGAGGCUUCCUUGAAACUCUGAAGGAUUUGAUAUCCGAUAAUAAUCCUAUGGUAGUAGCAAAUGCAGUUGCAGCACUUGCGGAGAUUCAAGAAAAUAAUACCCGGCCAAUCUUUGAAAUCACCAGCCAUACUCUGUCUAAACUGUUGACUGCCUUAAAUGAGUGUACCGAAUGGGGUCAAGUUUUCAUUCUG
rnacentral:misc_RNA from 1 species